UUCGCUUGUAAUGCAUCCACUUGUGACUGCCGUCGUUCCAUCUCCAACUUCCACAAUUCAUGAGUUUCAUUUAGCUGAGACUUCAAAUUUGACAUAUCAACAUCUUUUCCUGCCGCCAUGCCCUUCCUAAAUCCUUAAGUUCUGAUUGGAUGGGGUUGAAAAUUUCUGGCUCCCGCGGGAUCAGAAGCAUAAGCAAACAGGGACCAUGUAAUAGAGAGAAAGGAAAGGGGAAGAAGAGAG
rnacentral:misc_RNA from 1 species